GUGCUUGCUUCAGCAGCAUAUAUACUAAAAUUGGAACAAUACAGAGAAAAUAUUAACAUGGGCCCUGAAGAAGGAUAAUACUCCAAUUUCUGAGGUGUUGCAUAUUUUU
ensembl:snRNA U6 U6 spliceosomal RNA